GACGAACGCUGGCGGCGUGCUUAACACAUGCAAGUCGAACGGAAAGGCCCCAGCUUGCUGGGGUACUCGAGUGGCGAACGGGUGAGUAACACGUGGGUGAUCUGCCAUGCACUCUGGGAUAAGCCUGGGAAACUGGGUCUAAUACCGGAUAGGACCGUGCUUUAGUGUGUGCGGUGGAAAGUUUUUCGGUGCAGGAUGAGCCCGCGGCCUAUCAGCUUGUUGGUGGGGUAAUGGCCUACCAAGGCGGCGACGGGUAGCCGGCCUGAGGGGGUGUACGGCCACAUUGGGACUGAGACACGGCCCAGACUCCUACGGGAGGCAGCAGUGGGGAAUAUUGCACAAUGGGCGCAAGCCUGAUGCAGCGACGCCGCGUGGGGGAUGACGGCCUUCGGGUUGUAAACCCCUUUCGGCAGGGACGAAGCUUUUGUGACGGUACCUGCAGAAGAAGCACCGGCUAACUACGUG
rnacentral:rRNA from 1 species